rnacentral:lncRNA from 1 species
GGAGAUUGUCCUUCUUUGCCACCGACUGGAGACAUGUCCAUCAUGGUUACUCUCUCUCUCUCUCUCUCUCUCUCUCUCUCUCUCACUUUGUUAUUGUUAAUACAAAAACACGUUCUAAAUAAUAAUCAAAGGAUUAUUAAUUAAGUUACAUCAAUAAUCAAGAGAUAGAGAAUUAAUUAAAAAACUGUAAUGGAAGUGGUUAAGG